UACGUAGGGGGCAAGCGUUGGUUCGGAUUCAUUGGGCGUAAAGGGUGCGUAGGCGGCGCGGUAAGUCGGGUGUGAAAUCUUGGAGCUUAACUCCGAAACUGCAUUCGAUACUGCCGUGCUUGAGGACUGGAGAGGAGACUGGAAUUUACGGUGUAGCGGUGAAAUGCGUAGAUAUCGUAAGGAAGACCAGUGGCGAAGGCGGGUCUCGUGGACAGUUCCUGACGCUGAGGCACGAAGGCCAGGGGAGCAAACGGG
rnacentral:rRNA from 1 species